rnacentral:rRNA from 1 species
UAUUGCACAAUGGGGGAAACCCUGAUGCAGCGACGCCGCGUGAGUGAAGAAGUAUUUCGGUAUGUAAAGCUCUAUCAGCAGGGAAGAAAAUGACGGUACCUGAUUAAGAAGCCCCGGCUAACUACGUGCCAGCAGCCGCGGUAAUACGUAGGGGGCAAGCGUUAUCCGGAUUUACUGGGUGUAAAGGGAGCGUAGACGGCAGCACAAGUCUGGAGUGAAAUGCCGGGGCUUAACCCCGGAGCUGCUUUGGAAACUGUGCAGCUAGAGUGCAGGAGGGGCAGGCGGAAUUCCUGGUGUAGCGGUGAAAUGCGUAGAUAUCAGGAGGAACACCGGUGGCGAAGGCGGCCUGCUGGACUGCGACUGACGUUGAGGCCCGAAAGCGUGGGGAGCAAACAGG